GACAGAGGGUGCAAACGUUGCUCGGAAUUACUGGGCGUAAAGCGCGUGUAGGGGGAUUGGUGUGUCAGAUGUGAAAUCCCUGGGCUCAACCCAGGAACUGCACCUGAAACUACCAGUCUUGAGUGGUGGAGAGGGAAGUGGAAUUCCUGGUGUAGAGGUGAAAUUCGUAGAUAUCAGGAGGAACACCAGUGGCGAAUGCGGCUUCCUGGACACCAACUGACGCUGAGACGCGAAAGCGUGGGGAGCAAACAGG
rnacentral:rRNA from 1 species